rnacentral:rRNA from 1 species
GAUGAACGCUGGCGGCGUGCCUAAUACAUGCAAGUCGAACGAGGUGCCUUUGUAGCAAUACGAAGGUAUCCUAGUGGCGAACGGGUGAGUAACGCGUUGGUGACCUACCCCAAAGUGUGGGAUAACAGAUCGAAAGAUCUGCUAAUACCGCAUGUGGUCUUCGGAUUUAGAAACUGAUGACUAAAGGAGCAAUUCGCUUUGGGAGGGACCUGCGUCCCAUCAGCUAGUUGGUGAGGUAAUGGCUCACCAAGGCUACGACGGGUAGGGGACCUGAGAGGGUGGCCCCCCACAAUGGAACUGAAACACGGUCCAUACACCUACGGGUGGCAGCAGUAGGGAAUAUUGCACAAUGGGCGAAAGCCUGAUGCAGCAACGCCGCGUGUGCGAUGAAGGCCUUCGGGUCGUAAAGCACGUUUUCUGAGGGAUGAGCAAGGACAGUACCUCAGGAAUAAGUCUCGGCUAACUACGUAGCCAGCAGCCGCGGUAAU